rnacentral:lncRNA from 1 species
GCCUUGCUGGGGACAGGGCUGGUAUCAACUUCUCCUGUCAUUUCAACAGCAGGAUCCAGCUGCAUUUGGAGCUAACUGCAUCUCAUUUGUUUACAAGUCUAGUUGAGACUCUGAAUCAAGGUUAUGGUGAAGACCACAGGAAUCUUGGGAAGAUCAGAAGAGAACCAGAGAUUUCUAGGGAUGAGAGCACUGCUCUGCUGUAGGAGCCCUGAGCAUUGAUCCUGAUCCUGUCUCUGAGCAGUUGUGUGAUCUUGGGUAAGUCACCACAUCCCAUGAGCUCCAGGCCAGCAGUAGGAUGCAGUAGACUGGCAGUAG